GCCCUGGUAGUGAAAUAAUGAAGCAGUUGGCUGUUAACUAAAAGGUUGGUGGUUCGAACCCACCCAGUGGCU
rnacentral:tRNA from 1 species